AAUCCUACCUGAUUUGAGGCCAAAGUGUUAAGUAAGUUGUCCACAAGGGACGAUUAGAAGCUACACAUAUAGAACAGGCCUAAGGCGACGGCGCAGAUAAUUAUCACACCAUGCCGAGCACUGUAAAAAGCGCAAGCUAAUGCAUUUCAGGAUGAGCCAAUUACGGCACAAUCCAAAUCCACCACAAGACGACUGUAACAUCACUUGGGUGAGGGUUUACGUGACACUCAAACAGGCAUGCUCCAUGGAAUACCAAGGAGCACAAGUUGCGUUCAAAGAUUCGAUGACUCACUGAAUUCUGCAAUUCACAUUACGUAUCGCAUUUCGCUGCGUUCUUCAUCGAUGCGAGAGCCAAGAGAUCCGUUGUUAAAAGUUGUUAUUUUAUUGUAUUUGACAUUCUAGACUUGGUAGUUAAAUGUAAAAGCGGAAGCGACCAGAGCUAACUAGUCACAACCGAAGUGUGCACAGGUGUGUGAGAUUCAACAGCGUGCAGCCUAAGCGCACAGCUGAAGAGAAGAUAGACCCAAAGGUCGAAUCUUUAAUGAUCCUUCC
rnacentral:misc_RNA from 1 species